GCACUGGUGGUGUAAUGGUAACAUCUAAGCUUCCCAUGAGCGUUUUCGUGACUGGUCACCACUUAGUGGUGUUUGUAUGCUUAGGCCCCGGGUUCGAUUCCCGGCCAGUGCA